rnacentral:rRNA from 1 species
UACGGAGGGGGCUAGCGUUGUUCGGAAUGACUGGGCGUAAAGCGCGCGUAGGCGGAUCAUGCAAGUCAGGGGUGAAAUCCCGGGGCUCAACCCUGGAAUGGCCUUUGAGACUGCUGGUCUUGAGUUCGAGAGAGGUGAGUGGAAUUCCGAGUGUAGAGGUGAAAUUCGUAGAUAUUCGGAGGAACACCAGUGGCGAAGGCGGCUCACUGGCUCGACACUGACGCUGAGGUGCGAAAGCGUGGGGAGCAAACAGG